UACAGAGGUCUCAAGCGUUGUUCGGAUUCAUUGGGCGUAAAGGGCGCGUAGGCGGCGCGGUAAGUCGGGUGUGAAAUCUCGGGGCUUAACUCCGAAACUGCAUUCGAUACUGGCGUGCUUGAGGACUGGAGAGGAGACUGGAAUUUACGGUGUAGCAGUGAAAUGCGUAGAUAUCGUAAGGAAGACCAGUGGCGAAGGCGGGUCUCUGGACAGUUCCUGACACUGAGACACGAAGGCCAGGGGAGCAAACGGG
rnacentral:rRNA from 1 species